UACGUAGGGUGCGAGCGUUGUCCGGAAUUAUUGGGCGUAAAGGGCUCGUAGGCGGUUUGUCGCGUCGGGAGUGAAAACCAGGUGCUUAACACCUGGCUUGCUUUCGAUACGGGCAGACUAGAGGUAUGCAGGGGAGAACGGAAUUCCUGGUGUAGCGGUGAAACGCGCAGAUAUCGGGAGGAACACCGGUGGCGAAGGCGGUUCUCUGGGCCUGUACUGACGCUGAGGAGCGAAAGCGUGGGGAGCGAACAGG
rnacentral:rRNA from 1 species